rnacentral:rRNA from 1 species
CCUACGGGAGGCAGCAGUGGGGAAUAUUGGACAAUGGGCGAAAGCCUGAUCCAGCAAUGCCGCGUGAGUGAUGAAGGCCUUAGGGUCGUAAAGCUCUUUUACCCGGGAUGAUAAUGACAGUACCGGGAGAAUAAGCCCCGGCUAACUCCGUGCCAGCAGCCGCGGUAAUACGGAGGGGGCUAGCGUUGUUCGGAAUUACUGGGCGUAAAGCGUGCGUAGGCGGUUAUUCAAGUCAGAGGUGAAAGCCCGGGGCUCAACCCCGGAACGGCCUUUGAAACUAGGUAGCUAGAAUCUUGGAGAGGUCAGUGGAAUUCCGAGUGUAAAGGUGAAAUUCGUAGAUAUUCGGAAGAACACCAGUGGCGAAGGCGACUGACUGGACAAGUAUUGACGCUGAGGCACGAAAGCGUGGGGAGCAAACAGGAUUAGAUACCCUGGUAGUCCACGCCGUAAACGAUGAUAACUAGCUGUUCGGGUACUUGGUAUCUGAGUGGCGCGAGCUACGACAUUAAGUUAUUCCGUCCGUCGGGUAGGUACGGUCGGUCGAAGAAGUUAAACUAACAAAGAAGUUAGUACGGACGUGAGACGUGCCGAACGGACGACGACGACGGGAGGUAGG